GGGGGCGAGUUAGGUUCGACGGGGGUGGUAUAGGUACGAGUGGCAGGCCGAGUUCCAUGGCUCGUAAAACCAUGGGCCUAAAUUAAACGCAAACGACAACUACGCCUUAGCUGCCUAAGUAGUGCAGCUACAUCCGCCCGGACCCUGCCUGCGGGUACGGUAGCGGGUGUCAUAUGAGCAGGCUACCACACCUUCCAUGCCCGGGGAAGGUGUGGGAGACACACGGGCUAGUUCCCGGGGUAUCCAGCCGUAGGGAGCCCCCGGGAAUGAAGGGGAAAACUGCGGCUAAGCCUGUAGAAGCUCGUGCAUGUACACCUUCGGACGGGGGGUGCAACUCCCCCCCGCCUCCACCA
rnacentral:tmRNA from 1 species